rnacentral:RNase_P_RNA from 1 species
AAAACCUGUCGGAUGAUCGCGCGGCGUAAAUCCUUUUUGCGAGUGAGGAAAGUCCGGACACCUCGAACCGGAGGACCGGGUAAUCCCCGGAAGAUUUGUUUUUCAAAUCUAUGGAAAGUGCCACAGAAAAUAUACCGCUUUUAAAGCAAUUUAAAGGUAAGGGUGAAAAGGCGAGGUAAGAGCUCACCGCUGUUUUUGUAAAAAAACAGGCAUGGUAAACCCUCCUUGGUGCAAUCUCAAGUAAGCAGUCGCAUAGUUUGGUUCGGCUUAGACUGCGGGUAGAGAGCAAAGACUUUUUGGGUAACUAAAAAGCAAGAUAGAUGGUCAUCGAUUACAGAAUCCGGCUUAUAGACAGGUUUAUACU